GUCGGGUGGUGCAGGGGGCCGGCUCGGCGCUCAUCGCGCCGUCGGCGUUGACGCUGCUGAUGACGGUGUUCGGGCCACGGCCCGGCG
rnacentral:tRNA from 1 species